ensembl:lncRNA
UUUCUACACUCUGCUUCCUUAAUUCCACCACACUCCAGAUAGAUAUGCAUCUCCUGAACUAGUUUUCCAGCCAUUGCAGAAAUAUUUAAAUAAGCCACCAGAUCUGUUCUUCUUUCUGAUUUUCUGCUUUUUAAGAGACAAAUAGAUGGCUCACAGGAUGAUUUUACCCUGCAAUCCAUUCACACAACAAUUGUGAGGAGGAACCGAUAGAGCACACUCAGUCCUUUUGUGCUCCAAGUGGCACUUGUGGAAAGGAAAAACAUGGUCUUUUUCCUCACACUUUAAAGCCAGAACAGCUGAAUGGGAUGGAAAAGUAAGAAGAACACUACGAUGCAUCGUGUCUGGACUUGGAGGAGAUGGUCCUUGAAUACUGACCGUCUUGGACCUCUCUUCACUCCCAUGUCAACCUGCCAAGCAGUUCCCUG